UCCAAUGUGGCACAGUGGUUUCAGUGUUGGACUAAAGGUCCAGGAGUCCAGGGUUUAAAUCCCUGCUCAGCCCUGGAA